GCAGAGCAUCCUACGGGAGGCAGCAGUGGGGAAUAUUGCACAAUGGGCGCAAGCCUGAUGCAGCCAUGCCGCGUGUAUGAAGAAGGCCUUCGGGUUGUAAAGUACUUUCAGCAGUGAGGAAGGUGGGUAUGUUAAUAGCAUAUUCAUUUGACGUUAGCUGCAGAAGAAGCACCGGCUAACUCCGUGCCAGCAGCCGCGGUAAUACGGAGGGUGCGAGCGUUAAUCGGAAUUACUGGGCGUAAAGCGCAUGCAGGUGGUUUGUUAAGUCAGAUGUGAAAGCCCGGGGCUCAACCUCGGAAUUGCAUUUGAAACUGGCAAACUAGAGUACUGUAGAGGGGGUAGAAUUUCAGGUGUAGCGGUGAAAUGCGUAGAGAUCUGAAGGAAUACCGGUGGCGAAGGCGGCCCCCUGGACAGAUACUGACACUCAGAUGCGAAAGCGUGGGGAGCAAACAGGAUUAGUUACCCUGGUAG
rnacentral:rRNA from 1 species